CGUGAGUAACCUGCCUUGGAGUGGGGAAUAACAGUUGGAAACAGCUGCUAAUACCGCAUGAUGCAGUUGAGUCGCAUGGCUCUGACUGCCAAAGAUUUAUCGCUCUGAGAUGGACUCGCGUCUGAUUAGCUAGUUGGCGGGGUAACGGCCCACCAAGGCGACGAUCAGUAGCCGGACUGAGAGGUUGGCCGGCCACAUUGGGACUGAGACACGGCCCAGACUCCUACGGGAGGCAGCAG
rnacentral:rRNA from 1 species